rnacentral:rRNA from 1 species
CCAAGCAUUUAUUAGUUUUAACCAAUUACUGCGCAAGCAGUAAGGUGAAUCUAGAUAACUUUGCUGAUCGCAUGGCAUUGCCAGCGACGUUUCAAUUGAGUUUCUGCCCUAUCAAUUUGUUGGUAAGGUAUUGGCUUACCAAGGUUGUAACGGGUAACGGGGAAUCAGGGUUCGAUUCCGGAGAGGGAGCUUGAGAAUCGGCUACCACAUCCAAGGAAGGCAGCAGGCGCGCAAAUUACCAAAUCUAGACAGUAGGAGGUGGUGAAGAGAAGUACUAAGUGGUGGUUAUUUACUACCAGCUUGGAAUGGACGUAAUUUAAGCAUUUCGAUGAGUAACUACUGGAGGGCAAGUCCUGGUGCCAGCAGCCGCGGUAAUUCCAGCUCCAGUGGCGUGAUUUAAAGUUGCUGCGUUUAAAACGCUCGUAGUUGGAUCAAGCGGUGUCAGUUUGUAGUCCGUGGCUAGCAUUUGACUGCUUCAGUCGAUGCUAGUCGUGGAUGAAAACGCAAACUGUCACUAUUUAAUCGCAAAUAUGUUAGUUGACCUUGAAUGAGUUGAGUAUCAUAUUUUGCAGAGUUGUGCCUUGAAUAAAACAGAGUGCUCAAAGCAGGCGAACGCUUGAAUGUUGUAGCAUGGAACGAACAAACGUGUAUUAGCACAUGUCGUGCGAAGCGGAUGUGCUUCUGGUGUGUCUGCUUUGCUGACGUGUGCAUCACCGCCAAAGUACGAUUGUUGGUUAUCGUAUAAGGUGAUGAU